rnacentral:rRNA from 1 species
UUAAAAAGCUCGUAGUUGGAUUUCGGCGGGUAGUGGUUGGUUUGAAUUGAUUCACACUGACUUUUUUACCCGUGUGUUUUGCCAGAAUCUUACGGGUGAUCUUUACCGAUUGUCCGUUGGAACUGGCAGGUUUACUUUGAAAAAAUUAGAGUGCUCAAGCAAGCUUACUGCUUGAAUAGUUGCGCAUGGAAUAAUAGAAUAGGAAGUCGUUUCUAUUUUGUUGGUUUUCGGAAAU